AUCCUUGUAGCGUAAUGGGUAGCACGUUGGACAUCUAAUCCAAAGGUCAUGGCUUCGAAUCCCAGCUGGGAUG